AGAAUCAACGCUGGCGGCGUGCCUAACACAUGCAAGUCGAACGAGAAAGUGGAGCAAUCCAUGAGUAAAGUGGCGACCGGGUGAGUAACACGUGACUAACCUACCUUCGAGUGGGGAUAACCUCGGGAAACCGAGGCUAAUACCGCAUAACAUCGUGAGAUCAAAGCAGUAAUGCGCUGGAAGAGGGGGUCGCGGCUGAUUAGCUAGUUGGCGGGUAAUGGCCCACCAAGGCGAAGAUCGGUA
rnacentral:rRNA from 1 species